UAGAUGCCAGAGCCGCGACAAAAAUGGCGACAGAGCCACAGGCGAAGAAAACUCGCGUGGAGUUAAAGGAAGGAGUUGUCCUUACAUUUUGAAUCCUCUUUUGGAUAUCUCUGCCACUGUUGAUAAAGAUUUCUAAUACAAGUUUGGACAUGAAGCUAACAGUGCUAUUUUGGUAGAAGAAAAAUACAUACCAAUGUUAGCUUAGAGUAGAGUUUUAUGCUUAUUGCACAUCAUUCAGAUGAGGUGUAGUGAUUGUUAUUUUUGAAAAAAUAACAAUCACUAACAGUUAAGACUGUUUCAAUAAUUGCAAACACUUCAUUUCAGUUAUCAAGAAAUGACAGAGAAAUUCAAUGCAGAGUUCAUUCCUGGUGGAGCUGCACAAAACAUGAUUCGAGUUACCCACAUAGUCAAGGAAAUAACCUAAACAGGGAUAGA